AUUGCUGUAGUUGAGGGGGUUGAUCAUUAUAUAGCAGUACUAGUAGGACCGGCUACAAUUAGCCUGCGUGUUUCCUUUCACUUUCCGUCCUUUUAAGCAUGCAAUCACGCUAUCAUGACAACCUUCUUAUCCCCGAUGUGUUGACGUUAGUGUGGGUUUUUUUCUGGCACAUAGCGGCCACCAAAGGGGUCCUAGUUGAGUUGAGUUCUCGCCGGAGAAGUGGAAGUUCGCAGACAGACAAAUGCGUCUGUGAUAGAUCAAGCAAUGAUGAAUUAAAAUUUUCGAAAAUUCCUUCAAGAGCAAAGAAGGUUAAAUGAUAAUGUCAUUGCCACGUUUAUUGAAGAGAAGAUUGAUUGCUACGCUGUCCAUGCAAUGACAGAUCAGAAGCUGACAGAAUAUGUUCCCAAAAUUGGAGAAUGAAUUGCAAUAUAUCAGUACUGCAGAAGAGAAGUGGCUGUGUUUGAAGUAACCAACACAACCAUAUCCAAAGCUACUGAAUCUUUGAUUUAAAAAAUUAAACAAAAGCGGGGAUCCAACAAUGGCCUUACAGAUGAGCGUGUGAAAGAACUUUCUGGUAAUUCUAAUUAUAAGAACAACACAAUUGUCAAAUGGGCCUAUUGGAAGAGAAUCAGGGCAGAUUUGUGCAGGUGAGACAGAGAAGAGGGUGAGGCACAAGACAUUCAAAGGCCGCAAAGAAUACAACAAUGUCAGAAUUAAUAGCAAUAGGCAAAACACCUAACCCUUUUUCCAGAUGGAAAAUCAAAACUAGGCAGGGAAAGUGAUUUCGAAUGUUCAAUGCGAGACUUCACCGAAGAAAUGCUUGAGCCACAAACAACUUUAGGUGAGCAGUAUGAAAAGCGAAAGGUGAAAACAUUACAACUUUAUUUGUCAUGCUGUCUUCAGACAUACCUUUGCUGAUUAUGCCACUUAUGAUGUUGAUGACCCCCUCGACGACACCGUCCCCAUGGAGCUCUUAGAACUGGAAAAUCCACCUCCAACUUAAGAAUUUCAUCCACUUAAAGUAACAAAGCUUAAGCUGCACAGGGGAAAUGUUUUCACUGAGUUGAAUACAGCCUUUCAAAAUGGCAGUGUAUCUGUUGAUGAGCUGCUGGUCCCAGCUAUCAUCAGGCAGGAGGCGGGGUUCACCCUGUACUGGUUGACAGCCAAUCGCAGGGCACAUACAAACAAACAACCAUUCGCACUCACAUUCACACCUACAGGCAAUUUAGAGUUGUCAAUUAACCUACCAUGCGUGUUUUUGGGAUGUGGGAGGAAACCGGAGUGCCCGGAGAAAACCCACACAGGCACGGGGAGAACAUGCAAACUCCACACAGGAGGGGAUUGAACCCCGGUCCUCAGAACUGUGAGGCAGACGAUCUAACCAGUCGUCCAGCGUGCCGCAUUAUUAUUAUUAUUAUUAUUAUCCAUCCAUCCAUCCAUUUUAUACACUGCUUAUCCUCACUAGGGUCUGGAGCCCAUCCCAGCUAUCUUCGGGCGAGAGGCGCGGGGUACACCCUGAACUGGUCGCAGGGCACAUACAAACAAACAACCAGUCGCACUCACAUUCACACCUACGGGCAAUUUUGAGUUUUAAAUUAACCUACCAUGCAUGUUUUUGGAACGUGGGAGGAAACUGGAGUACCUGGAGAAAACCCACACAGGCAAGGGGAGAACUUGCCAACUCCACACAGGCAAGGCCGGAUUUGAACCCGGGUCCUCAGAACUGUGAGGCAGAUGUGCUAACCAGUCAUUCACCGU